rnacentral:tRNA from 1 species
CCUUCGAUAGCUCAGUUGGUAGAGCGGAGGACUGUAGGAACUUGGUUGAUGGUUAUCCUUAGGUCGCUGGUUCGAAUCCGGCUCGAAGGA